UUCCUAACCUGCUUAAACGAACCACAUCAGAUGAAUUGAAAUUCAAUCUUCUAUUAUAACUGGAAAAACAGCAAGAAAAUGCAGAAACACAGUGCUACUCCUUAUGAUAACAGCAAAUAUUCUUUGAGCUCCUUCUUGGUGUCAGCAUUCUGGGUGCCCUGAAGAGAGUGACAGAGACAGAGAGUCAGAUCAUCCUGUCACUGGCCCAUUCCCAAAGUGACAGCAACAACUGGGAAUGGGCCAGGAAAAAUAGGAGCCUAGACUUGAUCCAAGCACCGAGGCAGUCCUAUGUGGGAUGUGGACAUACCACAUGGUAUCCUAAGCAAUGUUCCAAACACUCACACCAACAUACUGCAUACUUCAGAGUCCAGCUGACCUCACAGAAGAUAUGAGGAGUCUUGAAUGAACUAAUGUAGGAGAAAAUAAAUGACAAAUACAAAGAGAAGAAACAGUCAAAAGGAAGAAGCAACAGAAGAUUUAGAUUUAUCAGCCAAAGUCCUACUGAGUUAAAGAUGAAUUGCUGAUUCUACUGAAACAAAAUAGAUUCACUUUCAGAGGUGGGAUUCACAUUAACUAAUAGAUCCAAAUACACUAAUUUCUCAGAAGUGAAGAAAAAUCAUUUGCUGGGCCUUUGUUAAAAAAAUUUCAGACAUGGAGCUCAAAGUUGAAACAAAAUUAAGGAUGUGAAAAGAUAGUUCUUUGUUUCACUUUUACAACAACCUUCAAUGUUAUAAAAUAUGAUUGUGCAAAAGUAUAGGUGUGCUAUGACAGUUGUGUAGAGAGAGAAAUGAAGCAACCAAGGUAGCCAGGUUUCUAAUCAUUUGGCCUAAUUCAAGGAAACAAUAGCAGAUAUGGAGUAACUCAGAAUUUGUAAGCUGUUAUAUAUAGAUAUAUCUUGCUGCCUGAACUUUAACAAAAGUUGAACAUGAGACAUUUUACCACCAUGGUCUCUAGUCCAGUCCUAUGUUAAUAAAAGAAAAUUUAUAUACUUAUGUGGGUGAAUGACUAAAUGUCUGUUCUUUUAUAAAAGUAAAGGAACCAGUUGCAACUACUGAUUGAGUGUCCAGUUACCCUACUUCUGAAGAGGA